GUUAGCCUGGACAGACCAUACACACACUCAAGGUGAUACGGCAACCAGAAGAGGGUGAAAGCAGCAAUGAUGAUGAGGAUGAGAAAGUUUCCUCUUCCCUUACGCUGGAACAUGGCGCUGCGCAGCCGAAGGAUGACUGAGAUGUAGCAGAACAGGAUGAAGGCGAAGGGCAGCAGGAAGCCCAGCAGAGUCUCAGACAGAUACCGGAUGAAAAGCGGAGAACUCAGGAGCACCAGAGCAUCAGCCACGGCCAGAUUCAGAAUCAGCAGACAGGUGACAGAGCGGCGCCGCACUCGACACAGUACCGACCACACUACAAACAGGUUACCGGGAAAACCAAACACAAAAGCGAUAACCAGGAUCGCAAUGCCAAUCUGAUGGGACAGGGGCAGGGAUGGUGGUGUAGAUGGGGGAGCGGGCACAACGGCGGAUGCAGGUGGUCCAGAGAAGACCGGAGUUAAAGGAGUUGCCAUUUGAAUCAAACUUUAUGGUGUUGCUUCUUGAAUUUACUGUGGAAAGAAAGCAAACAGAGCAAGAACAUCAAAACCAACAUCUAUUUCCCUUUCAUCUGUAGGCUAUAAUUAUUUGUCAAACACAUUUGUGGUUCUCUGUUGCUGGACAGUUAGAGACAAUGUCGUAUCAUGAUUUCUUGAAAUCGUUCGGUUCUUGAAAAUAGAGCC
rnacentral:lncRNA from 1 species